ensembl:lincRNA
AUCAACAAACAACUUCACUCCAGCAAAUCAUUUUAUUAGGCUCAAGAUGAGUUCCUGCCUGCAAAGCUCUCAAAUCAAGAAACUGUGGGCCGGGCAGCCGCCUACUUCCCACCCCAGUCACGCUGCUCAGGGUUCGCCUUGAAUGGCUAAUUACUGGUCACCUCACCUUCUUGUCAAAGCUGAAAGAUUAUACUUAACGCACAACUUAAGCCGUCCCCUGGACCUCAGUUGUUUGGACUGGCAAUCACGUCUUCUGUUUGCUUCCCCACUUACCUUAAGUUUUAGUAAUUGCCCUCUGGGCUCAAAAGAGCAUCCCACCAGGCCAUUGAAAUGUUGAACAACCCCCUGACAUGGGGAAGUGUUUAUCUGCACUCAGAGAAAGAACUGGGACAAAUACGUACAGCUUUGGUUCAUGACAGGAUGCAGGUUUCUUACGAGCAAUUUCCUAACCUUCAGCUUAAUAAUAACUAUAAUCAACUUGGCACGUUGAGAGUUGGUUAGAAGUGUCGUUAAGCAGUAACUAGAAACUUCCAAGACCGUAAAUAAGUCAGAAUGGAGAUCUUUCGCACAAUGUAAACAAUAAUGCCCAGUGUUCCUUCGAGCUUUAUAAGAUGCAGGAAUACUUCCUCGACCUAUCUUUGCAGGCACAAGAAAAAUAAAGCUCUCUGUCUAACACUUUACCAGUUCUUCCUGCUGUGGGAUUCCUGGAAGACGACCUUGCUCAGCCUCAGACAACCCUUUCCACGAUGCAUUUGUGUCAUCAGCUCUUCUUCCAACAGAAUUUAGAUGGUAAUAGUCGCAAAUUAAUUCAUUGCACGAGUCAAUGCAGAAAGUGACCAAGAUUAUGGAUUUUCUUUGACCUUUGACAAUUUAUGGGUCAUUUGGAAGGAGUGGAAGUUGACCAUGAAUGUUUGAUUAUUUUGACUGGUUAGAUGACUGAGUGGCAGAAAGUUGUUGAAGGUAUUUACCAAACUCCAAUCUAAGAUCCCUGGGGAUUCAUGAACAUCCUAGGAGAAUCAACCUAGCAGGCCUCAAAGAGAAGCUGGACUUAUUUUCCACCGUGACCUAGUCUGAACUUCAUGGGAUCAGAAAUUCUGAAGAAGUACAGAACUAUUUGAGAAAAUGAAAUCACUCUUUCGGAAGCAAUUCACUCAUUUUGGUGCUAUGAAUCAUGCUGUAAGCUUCUUUGCUUGCUUGAUGCUUGAACACUGCAGGUUCCUAAAUGAUCAAAUAUCUGUCCUAGCCAUGUCACUCAGUUUCUGGAGUCUUGGUGUUCAACCCUGGGGCAAUGUCUGUGUUUUCAUGGCUCUGUGACAGUACACUCCAUUUUGUUGACACAGAGACCCGUCCUCCAUAAUGUAAACCUAGUGUCAGAACUGCAGUGGUUCCUGACUGAAUACACCCUCAGUUCUCAAAAAGAUUGAGUUAUUGAGUUGGUCAAAUACUGGUAUUCUUCCCUGAACUCAUCGUUAAGGAUUGCCUAACCAUAGGCUAAAAGCUAUGUUUUUAUGUGUUGAAAUUUGGCUAACCUGCCUUUGUUUUUUUUUUUAAAGAUUUUAUUUGUUUAUUUGACAGAGAGAGAUCACAAGCAGGCAGAGAGGCAAGCAGAGAGAGAGAGAGGAGGAAGUGGGCUCCCUGCCGAGCAGAGAGCCUGAUGCGGGACUUGAUUCCAGGACCUUGAGAUUGUGACUUGAGCCAAAGGCAGAGGCUUAACCCACUGAGCCACCCAGGUGCCCCAUUGGCUAACCUAACUUUUUGACACACUUUAAAAUUGUUAAUAAAAUUCAUUCUAACUUUGGCCAUUUGAAUAUAAAAAAUAAUAAUCAUAAAAAUAAGAAACAUAUAGAAAAGCACAUAGAAAAAAUCCAUCAUCUU